AAGUCGUAACAAGGUUUCCGUAGGUGAACCUGCGGAAGGAUCAUUAACACGUAUCCAACGUUAAACCCCCCGUGAACCUUCAUUGUGCUCCCCCAUUCCGUUAGGACGCGGCAAUCCCUGGUAAAUCAUCGCCGAACAGUUUUGAUUCAGGGACCUCUGCAUGGAGUGGGCAGCAGCGCGAGGCAAGUGGCCUGGCAUUCGAAAGAAUGGCGCAGUAACGAUCGCUAGAGGCCGACACGGCCGGCGACCGGGUCACUGGGCUCACGCCCCCCUAUCACCUUUGCAUGAAAACGGGCCUGCGCUUAAUUGUGCGGCCACCAAACUCGAACAACUGUCAACAAUGGAUAUCUUGGUUCUC
rnacentral:misc_RNA from 1 species